AAACCAUGAAAUCAUGCCAAGGAGAACAUGAGCUCACCUUGGGUGGGAAGAGGAAGAAAACUCAGCUCCUCAACCGACCUAAGGGGCUUUUAUAGGUGGCUUGGUCAACCAUUUUCGGCAGCCAAACAUGCACCCACAACUCAGCCAAGUUCGGCGGCCGAACCUAGCUUUCGGGGGCACAAACUCUACCACCUUCGGCGGCCGAACAUUCCUUCGGCGGCCGAACCUCUGUUUUUCCCUCCUUGACCCUUUUCUCUUCAAAACACAUUUCCUUUCCUUUUAAAACCAUAAAACACAUAAAAACCUUUUGGAAAACCUUUACUUAGCCCUUGCAAUAACCCGCAAAAAGAAACCAACAUCCGAAUUUCCACCGGACGGUAGAAAUUCCGAUGCCUGAACGAGCCGGGUAUUACAAUCUACCCCCCUUAUAAAACAUUCAUCCCCAAAUGUUCAACACCAAACAAGCAAACAAGCAAACAUGCAAACAAGCAAGCGAAGCCUAACUCCGCACCAAAGAGAGACAUCGAUACUCUGGAGGAAGAACGCCCGGGUUCCUGAACUCCACAGACUUCUGCUGCGCUACUCUGAUCCUUCUCUUCUUCCUCCUUCUCUGCUUUUACUCUUCUCUUCUACACUCUUCCUCUGUCCUAAUCUCCGAUCUAUUCUAGGAAAGAACCAGCUUUCACUAGCCAAUCCAGUAGAUCUUCCCUUCAAGGUAAAGGUUCCUUAUUCCUGGUAGUGACCUUGUACAACAACAGCAUAUUCACAGAUUCAUCCUUCGUUUUCCACAACCAAACUGGAACAUUCCAGGGUGAGGUACUCGGUCGGAUGAACCUCCUGUCUACCAAGCUCCGCACUCCUAUUCUGCCAACUCUUCCUACUCUUCCUCUAACUCUCACAACUCCACAUAUACCAUCUUGAACGGAACGAUAGAAAUGGUUCUGGUAUCAUGUACGUUUCAACCAAACUCUACCUCCCUGAUCGAUGGUAAACCUGACACUAGGCUGCGAACACCUCUAACCACUCUCAUUAUCUAGGGUCCUAAGGUUGAUUCCCAGACCUGCCUGCUAACCUCCUCACACUAGAACAACUACACCCUACGAGCCUGACAGCUGACAUCAAACUUCUAGGCCUCCUACCCUGUCCUCUCUGACGCCUACCUCGGAUCCAUCCUGAACUCCGCUCCUGACUACCUUGCGCUGCAGAUGCAGGUAACCACCAGCAUCAUAAGGAGAAAACCAAUCCAUUCCCCCGAAUGACAUCCAGACACUUCAGUCUAGGACCUCAAGAUCGAGUGGACGGCUCUGCUCAAGGACACUGGACUGAACCUUUGCCAGAGAUGAAUCCUACCCGGGUCUACACACCCAAAGAGAACAUUCUACGCCCAGAAGCUAUCAACUCAACCACUCAAAGCUCCUAGAGCAACUAAAGAAAAGAAACACUAGAGCUCACAAAACAACAGAACAUGAACAAGUGUGCAUACCUGGCAUCACUGUGUCCGAUGUGUCUGCCUCUCUUCCUUGCCUAUUGGUUGGAGCCACAUGCCUGGCGACCCGCUGCUGAGACCGUACCAUCCUCGGCGCAGUAGGACACUCACGUGCGAAGUGCCCUUCCUGUCCGCACCUGAAGCAUGCCGUGGUCCCAAACCGACAAACUCCUUUGUGUGAUCUUUCACACCUUCUGCACCUUAUAGGGUCUGCGCCAGAGCUCGCACCAACAACAGCUAAACUAGCCUUCAGCCGCUGCCAAAACUUACCCUUCUUCGACCCUUUGAGACCUCUCACCUUCUUCUUACCUCUUUUGGCCGCUGUACUCAGAAUGGAGGGAUCAACGUCUCCUGAACUAGAGAUCUUGGAUGCUUCUGACUUGCCCAUACUUUCUUCAUCCAUAUUCACUUGCACACCUAUAUCCCUCCUCGACACCAUGUCUUCUCUGCUGACCUCAAUAGACCUUCCAAGGUCUCUUGCUAUUUCCUCACUGCCAACUCUGCCUGACUGCACCCCUGGCAAAACAGGGGAAAAGGUGGCCAUACCUUCCCUCUCAGAUGGAUCUGACUCCACAGAUCGACUAGCAUCCUACAUCUUCACUCUUCUGAAAACACAACAGGCACACAUGCAAACAAGCAUUAGCAUCACAUCACAUCAUGUGGUCCAUGGAGAACUACACAUGAACUCACAACGCAUGGCAUUAGCAUACGGUCCAUGUAGUUGCUACAUGAAGUGUUUUGUAUGUAAUAGUAUAGCUUAGUGUUGAUUGAGUGGCAUGUAUAUGUUAUGUAAGAUUGGAGUACAGUUUCAGUGCUGUUAUGUUCUGUUAUGCUCUGAUUGUAUGCUUGUAUAGUAUAGUUGUGGACAUGAUAUAAGGCCAUGAGGUAUAUAAAGGUUAUGAAUGGAAAGAGUAUGUCACGUAAAAGGUUAUGAGGUAACGUUAGAGUUGUGCUUUGCCUAGUGUUGGUUAGUCCCUUGUUGUUGCACAUGAUCACAAGUUUUUAAGCUAAAUGAUUUCAUUUUGUAUGAAAUGUUUUCAAGAUGUUUUCAUGGGUCCCAAGCUUAAUGAAUGAGAUGUUACUCCAUUGGAGCAGCCCUUGUGGACUCCAGAGUGGGGUUAAGUUACGAGUAAGUGCAUGCAUGAGGUAAGCUUGGUUAAGAGAAAAGAAAAGUUUUCAGUCAGAUCUUGUUCAGGUUAAGCCUGAACAGUAACAGGGUGAUCAUGUAUGGGAUUCUACCAGAUGUUUAGAGAGUUCAGUUAGGCUUGCUACGGGUCCCAGCAGCCUUAAGCCGAUCUGGAUCCUAGCGCCGAGCAGUUUGGAGCCGUUACAGAGGAGUAUCGGUAUCCGGGCUGUUACAGAUGGUAUCAGAGCAUAGGGCCUCAACAGUACGGUGUGUUGAGCAAGGUUUCUCACAUCGGAAAGAGGUUUUGUUAGGAGGGCAAGCACAAUAAGAAAGAUCAAGAGUAAGAUCAUGUCCACUAGGAUAGGAUGAAGAGUCCUGUCUUGCAUGAUGAUGUGUAAUGCCAUGUUUGAUGCAUGUGCAUUUUUACUGUAUUAUGGAUGUUGACUGAUCUCUGAUUCCUCGAUAUGCGAUGUUAUGAUAUGAGAUGAGCUGAGAGACCAGGUAUGGUUUUGAGCACAGUUGAUCAUGGCAUGUUAUGCUAGGUUGAGGGCUCUUGGUGACAGGUUCAUCCAUGAUAUAUAUCUCUGACUUCUCAUAGCUCACUCUGAAGACUUCUGGUCUCCCACAACUAAGACUGGCCCUACAAAACUGGGGAAGGGAAAGGGAUGAGCUACGAGAGCCCAGUGAGUAGAAACCAUAUAAACAGUUCAUUCACGCAUUACAUGUUCUCGUGAAAUGUGUCACAGCACAAACAUAUCACAUCUCGGAUUAGACAUGAUCCCAGAACUCCCUCUGUCGGUGCCCGGCCCCUAAGGAGCUCCCAGGUCACUACAUGUACUAGAGCCCGGCCCCUAACUACGGAGCACCCAAAGGUCUUAUCUAGACAUAACAGGUAACGGGCUACUGAGAUCGCCUUGGUCCAUCCCAUUAACAAUAAAUAAUGCAAUGCAAUGCAGCACAUUCGUGAUCUCUAAUGCGAUACAACCUAGUACCACAUGGCAUUAAUGAUGCGUGUCUCAUGCUCAUACUGUCAGUAUCUUUAAACAUUAGCUUUAAAAAAUGCAUAGUUAGAUCUACUCACCUGAAGCCUUUGCUCAGCUAUCUCUGGGCCAACUCUCACACUAGAACUAAACACCUCGUCUCAGGUCCGAUCCUACACAGGUGGACUUACAUGAGGUGCCAAACAACUCUAACAUAACUCUAAAACAUCUUCCCAAAGACCCUCUAAAACAUCAUAAACAUGCAUGGAAAAAAAUGCAAAGGAAGGCAAAACAGGGCACCUUCGGCGGCACUUUCGGCGGCCGAAAGUCUCCUCCAGAGACGAAAGUCAGGCAUGUUCGGCGGCAGGUUCGGCGGCCGAAUCUCCACUCCAGAGCCAAAAGUCCAAACCUUCGGGGGCGAGUUUAGGCGGCCUAUCCCACCUCCUCAAGGGUUCGGCGGCCGAAACUCCUUUCGGCGGCCGAAACUCCUUUCGGCGGCCGAACCUGAGUUCCUCCAGAACCCAGAUCCAUGCACCAACAAGCCUCCCUAAACCUUCCUAUCCCUCUUAACAUGCAGAUAACCUCUUAAAACCAUGCACAAACCCUUAGACACACAUAUAGGAGCUUCAAACAACCUUAAACUCCCACACACAACAUCAAAUGACCACAUAUAGCAAACAAAGGCAUAAAGGAUGCAUAAACCCCUUCAUGCACAACUCAUGCAAACCAUGCAAACCUACCCUCUAUCCCUCCAUAAAACUUGCUUAAAACACCAUAAAACAUAAGGAUCAACACUUACCUCUUCAUGCACUAGAGUUGGUAUGAUCCUAACUUCAAAACAUGGAGAAACCAAGCUGUAAAAGCUCCAAGCUCCAAAACUUGCUCUUUUUGCUCAAAACCUUCAAAACCAAGGUAAAAGCUUAUUCAAACUUGGAAAGAACUUGACCAAACCAUGAAAUCAUGCCAAGGAGAACAUGAGCUCACCUUGGGUGGGAAGAGGAAGAAAACUCAGCUCCUCAACUGACCUAAGGGGCUUUUAUAGGUGGCUUGGUCAACCAUUUUCGGCAGCCAAACAUGCACCCGCAACUCAGCCAAGUUCGGCGGCCGAACCUAGCUUUCGGGGGCACAAACUCUACCAUUUUCGGCGGCCGAACAUUCCUUCGGCGGCCGAACCUCUGUUUUUCCCUCCUUGACCCUUUUCUCUUCAAAACACAUUUCCUUUCCUUUUAAAACCAUAAAACACAUAAAAACCUUUUGGAAAACCUUUACUUAGCCCUUGCAAUAACCCACAAAA
rnacentral:lncRNA from 1 species